rnacentral:rRNA from 1 species
AUUGAACGCUGGCGGCAUGCCUUACACAUGCAAGUCGAACGGUAACAGGUCUUCGGAUGCUGACGAGUGGCGAACGGGUGAGUAAUAUAUCGGAACGUGCCCAGUAGUGGGGGAUAACUCCUCGAAAGAGCCGCUAAUACCGCAUACGACCUGAGGGUGAAAGGGGGGGACCGCAAGACCUCUCGCCAUUUGAGCGGCCGAUAUCAGAUUAGCUAGUUGGUGGGGUAAAGGCCUACCAAGGCAACGAUCUGUAGUUGGUCUGAGAGGACGACCAGCCACACUGGGACUGAGACACGGCCCAGACUCCUACGGGAGGCAGCAGUGGGGAAUUUUGGACAAUGGGCGCAAGCCUGAUCCAGCAAUGCCGCGUGCUGGAAGAAGGCCUUCGGGUUGUAAACUGCUUUUGUCAGGGAAGAAAUCCUCUAGGUUAAUACCCUUGGGGGGAUGACGGUACCUGAAGAAUAAGCACCGGCUAACUACGUGCCAGCCGCCGCAGUAAGAC